ACGUAUUUUGCGCCCGAGGCUGCGGGAGAUGCAGUGAUGGAGUCUUGCUCUGUCACCCAGGCUGGUGCAAUCUCGGCUCACUGCAACCUCCACCUCCGGGGUUCAAGCGAUUCUUCUGCCUUAGCCUCCUGAGUAGCUGAGAUUACAGGUGACGGGGUUUGACAGCGUGGAUGAUGAGUCCAAGCACAGCGACCACAUGUUUUCCGACAAGAGCCCAAACCCGGACGUCUGGACCAGUGAGCAGAACCCACCCUACAGCUACUACCUGUACUACAUGUAUGCCAACAUCAUGGUGCUCAACAACCUCCGCAGGGAGCGCGGCCUGAGCACGUUCCUGUUCCGGCCGCACUGUGGGGAAGCCGGCUCCAUCACCCACCUGGUGUCUGCCUUCCUCACUGCUGACAACAUUUCCCACGGGCUGCUCCUCAAGAAGAGUCCGGUAUUGCAGUAUCUCUACUACCUUGCUCAGAUCCCCAUUGCCAUGUCUCCUCUUAGCAACAACAGUUUGUUCCUCGAAUAUUCCAAGAACCCUCUGAGGGAAUUCCUGCACAAGGGACUGCAUGUUUCUCUUUCCACCGAUGACCCCAUGCAGUUCCACUACACGAAGGAAGCACUUAUGGAAGAAUAUGCCAUUGCAGCUCAAGUGUGGAAGCUGAGCACCUGCGACCUGUGUGAGAUCGCCAGGAACAGCGUGCUGCAGAGCGGCCUCUCGCAUCA
rnacentral:sRNA from 1 species